rnacentral:rRNA from 1 species
GGUUCGAUUCUGGCCCAGACUUACGCUGGCGGGAUGUUUACACAUGCAAGUCGAACGGCAGCACGGACUUCGGUCUGUGGAGAGUGGUGAACGAAGAGAGUAAUGUAUCGAACGCCUAUAGCGGGGAUAACUAUUGAAAAGCGUAGCUAUUACCGCAUAAUAUCUCUUCGGGAAAGGAUCUCGGCCCCGCAAUUAUUGAGCGGCCGAUACUGGAUUAUUAGUUGCGGGGCGGCAACGUCCCCAAUAAGGUGACGAUCCGUAGCUGGUUUGAGAGGACGACCAGCCACACUGGACUGACACGGCCCGACUCCUACGGGAGGCAGCAGUGGGGAAUUUUGGAUAAUGGGGAAACUCCUGAUCCAGCCAUCAUCCGCAGUGUGCGAUGAAGGCUCUGGAGCCAAAGCACUUUGCAGGGAAAGAAACGGCACGGGAUAAUAUUCCAACUGACGGUACUGUGAGAUUACAAUUAAUAAUCAUGUGCCAGCAGCUGAGGUAAUAUGUAGGUGCAAGCGUUAAUCGAAUUGAUUAGCGUAAAGGUGCAAGAGCGAAGUUCCGGAAAGAAAGAUGUGAAAUCCCAGAGCUUAACUUUCGAACUGCAUUUAAUUACCGAGCUUAGGAGUGUGUGUCAGAGGAGGUAAAUCUAUGCGUAGCAGUGAAUGCGUGAUAAAGGUGGAGGAACACCACCGGCAAGGCAGUUCGGGAUAGCACUGACGCUCAUGCACGAAAGCGUGGGUUAAACAGGAUUAGAUACCCCGGUAGUCCACGCCCUUAAACGAUGUCAAUCUUCGGCUAGCCUCGGACUUAGGCGCAGCUAAUGUGUGAAGUUGACCGCCUGGGGAGUACGGUCGCAAAGAUUAAAACUCAAAGGAAUUGAUGACUCCGCACAAGCGGUGAUGAUGGGACACGACCGAUGCAACGCGAAACCUUUACCUGUCUUUACGUCUGAAUCCGUAAGAGAUUUUGGGGAGUGUCGCAAGAGAACUGAACACAGGUGCUGCAUGGCUACCGUCAGCUCGUGUCGAGAUGUUGGGUUAAGUCCCGCAACGAGCGCAACCUCAAGUCAUUAGUUGUUACGAAAGGGGCACUCUAAUGAGACUGCUAUGACAAAACCGAGAAGGUGGGGAUGACGUCAAGUCCUCAUGGCCCUUAUGGGUAGGCCACACGUCAUACUGUCGGACAGAGGGUCGCCAACCCGCGAGGGGGAGCCAAUCCCAGGAAACCGAUCGUAGUCUGAUCAAAGUCUGCAACUCGACUGCGCGGAAGUCGGAAUCGCUAGUAAUCGCGGAUCAGCAUGUCGCAGAAUACAUUCCCGGGUCUGUACACCGCCCGUCACACCAUGGAGUGGGUUUUCUACCAGAAGUAGUUGGGGCCUAACCGCAAGGAGGGCGAUUACCACGGUAGGAUUCAUGACUGGGGUGAAGUCGUAACAAGGUAGC